AGAGUUUGAUCCUGGCUCAGAAUCAACGCUGGCGGCGUGCCUAACACAUGCAAGUCGGACGCGAAAGGGGGCUUCGGCCCUUGAGUAGAGUGGCGGACGGGUGAGUAACACGUGGGUGACCUGCCCGGCUGAGGGGGAUAACUUCUCGAAAGGGAAGCUAAUACCGCAUGCGCUCCUGGAAGCGAUUUUAGGAGGAAAGCCGAAAGGCGCAGCUGGAGGGGCCCGCGCUCGAUUAGCUGGUUGGUGAGGUAACGGCUCACCAAGGCGACGAUCGAUAGCCGGUCUGAGAGGACGGACGGCCACACUGGAACUGAGACACGGUCCAGACUCCUACGGGAGGCAGCAGUGGGGAAUUUUGCGCAAUGGGCGAAAGCCUGACGCAGCAACGCCGCGUGGAGGAUGAAGGUUUUCGGAUCGUAAACUCCUGUCCCCAGGGAAGAAGAAAGUGACGGUACCUGGGGAGGAAGCCCCGGCUAACUCCGUGCCAGCAGCCGCGGUAAUACGGGGGGGGCAAGCGUUGUUCGGAAUUACUGGGCGUAAAGGGCGCGUAGGCGGCCUGGGAAGUUCUGGGUGAAAGCCCCCGGCUCAACCGGGGAAGUGCCUGGAAAACCACUGGGCUGGAGUGCUGGAGAGGGAAGCGGAAUUCCUGGUGUAGCGGUGAAAUGCGUAGAGAUCAGGAGGAACAUCGGCGGCGAAGGCGGCUUCCUGGACAGACACUGACGCUGAGGCGCGAAAGCCAGGGGAGCAAACAGGAUUAGAUACCCUGGUAGUCCUGGCUGUAAACGAUGACGACUUGGUGUGGGGGGUAGCAAAGUCCCUCCGUGCCGGCGAUAACUCGUUAAGUCGUCCGCCUGGGGAGUACGGCCGCAAGGCUGAAACUCAAAGGAAUUGACGGGGGCCCGCACAAGCGGUGGAGUAUGUGGUUUAAUUCGACGCAACGCGAAGAACCUUACCGGGGUUUGAACUUCACGGGACGGGUCUAGAGAUAGGUCUUUCCCUUCGGGGACUCGUGGAGAGGUGCUGCAUGGCUGUCGUCAGCUCGUGUCGUGAGAUGUUGGGUUAAGUCCUGCAACGAGCGCAACCCUUGUCUGUAGUUGCUACCAGGUGAAGCUGAGCACCCUACAGAGACUGUCGGCGAAAAGCCGGAGGAAGGUGGGGAUGACGUCAAGUCCUCAUGGCCUUUAUGCCCCGGGCUACACACGUACUACAAUGGGCGGUACAAAGGGCAGCCAACUCGCGAGAGUGUGCGAAUCCCAAAAAACCGUCCUCAGUUCGGAUUGCAGUCUGCAACUCGACUGCAUGAAGGUGGAAUCGCUAGUAAUCACGGAUCAGCAGGCCGUGGUGAAUACGUUCCCGGGCCUUGUACACACCGCCCGUCACAUCACGAAAGUGGGUUGUACUAGAAGUCGCCGGGCUAACCCUUCGGGGGGGCAGGCGCCCACGGUAUGAUUCAUGAUUGGGGUGAAGUCGUAACAAGGUAACC
rnacentral:rRNA from 1 species